rnacentral:rRNA from 1 species
GUUAUGUUAGUUAAAUACAUUAAUAAUAAACAUUUUUGUGUUGCAAAAAUCAUAUUCUUUUAAAGUAUUGGUGAGAGAACUUUAGACAAGACGCUUAUAAGAAGUACUGCAAAGGAAAAUAAUUAGUAUGUUAAAAGAAGUUUUUCGUACUUUUUGUAUCAUGGUUUAGUGAGAAAAAUUUUGUUAUUGCGUGUUUUCUCGAACUCUUGUGAGCUAUCUUGUUUAUGUUGAGAACUAAUAUUGCGAUGUUGCAUAACUGUAAAUAUAAAACAAGAUAGAAGUGAAAUGCUUGGCGAACAAGAAGAUAGCUAGUUUCUGCCCUAUAUUUAUAAGAAAAAUUGCUUGUAGAAAAAUAAGCGUAUCAAAAGUUAAGUUUUUUGGGGAUAAGCUCAAAAAAGUGAUGAAAUUUUCUAUUGUAAAACUAAAAUAUGGGCAUAAAAGCUGCCAUUUUUGAUGAGUUCGUCUUAGAUCUGUUUUGUUUUGCUGGAUUCUUUGCUUUUUGGCAGAUUUGUUUAAAACAAACCUAGGCUUUAAAUAAUGCUAAUAUUAGUACUAGUAUAUUUACUGUAAGGUGUGAGUGGUUCUUGUGUGUUGCUUGCUAUUUUAGGUAAAGACUUGUAAGAGGGGGAAAGGAACUCGGCAAUACUAAGUCCGUCUGUUUAUCAAAAACAUAGCCUGUUGGGGUUUAAUAAUAGGUAAUUUCUGCCCAGUGCUUUGUAAGUAAAUGGCCGCGGUACUCUGACCGUGCAAAGGUAGCAUAAUCAUUUGCUCUUUUAUUGAGGGCUUGUAUGAAUGGGAUGACGUGAUUUGGGCUGUCUCUCUUCUUUAAUUGAAACUUGCUGUUUUUGUGAAGAAGCAAAAAUGUAAAAAAAAGACAAGAAGACCCUAUUAAGCUUUACUUGUGGUUGAUACAGGUUAACUUUGUUAAUAGAAUUAAUUUGUGCUGGUCGAGUUUGGUUGGGGUGACCAAAGAAGAAAAGAUCUUCUUUUUGUAUARAAACUAUAUGUUUAGCAAUGACCCAGAAAAUUCUGAAAAAAAGAAUAAGUUACUAUAGGGAUAACAGCGUAAUUUUUUCAAAGAGUUCUUAUCGAAGAAAAAGAUUGCGACCUCGAUGUUGACUUGUUGUUUCCGUUUUAAUAGGUGUAGAAGCUAAGAAGGUUGGUCUGUUCGACCAUUAAAACAGCACGUGAGUUGAGUUCAGACCGGCGUGAGCCAGGUUGGUUUCUAUCUUUUUGUGCAAAGUAAGGCCUGUGCUAGUACGAAAGGACCGCAAAGGCACAUAAAUAUGUGGU